UACGGAGGGGGCUAGCGUUGUUCGGAAUUACUGGGCGUAAAGCGCACGUAGGCGGUUUCUCAAGUCAGAGGUGAAAGCCCGGAGCUCAACUCCGGAAUAGCCUUUGAAACUAGGAAACUUGAACACGGGAGAGGUGAGUGGAAUUCCGAGUGUAGAGGUGAAAUUCGUAGAUAUUCGGAAGAACACCAGUGGCGAAGGCGGCUCACUGGCCCGGUACUGACGCUGAGGUGCGAAAGCGUGGGGAGCAAACAGG
rnacentral:rRNA from 1 species